ACCUUGAGCUCCUCUCCAGAAAGGUGUGUUCCGGCUCAACAACCAGGACUACUUCAUCGAGCCCCUGCAAGGGGCCCAGGCCCAGCCCGGGAGUGCCCUGCCCCACGUGGUGUACCAGCGCCCAGCUUCCCAGGGGCAGGCAGAGCAAGGCCCCUGCGGGGUGCAAGGGCCCCUGGAGCGGGAGUUCUGGCAGCGGGCCGACGGGGACCAGCCGAAGCGGCAGCGGCGGUACCAGAGCUCGGAGAGCAGAGAGAAGUGGGUGGAGACCCUGGUGGUGGCGGACGCCGACAUGGUGCGGCACCACGGGCAGCCCCAGGUGGAGAGCUACGUGCUGACCAUCAUGAACAUGGUGGCCGGCAUUUUCAAGAACCCCAGCAUCGGGAACCCCAUCCACAUCACGGUCGUGCGCCUGAUUGUGCUGCAGGACGAGGUGGUGAGAAGCCGAGGGUCCCCCCCC